UUCUUUUCUUUGGUAUCAAAAGGGGCUAUGAUAUUCCUUUAGAAAUUAAAGUGAUUCUGUUGAACUUUUACUUUUCGUUCCAUCAAUUUCGGGAGUAUAAAGUAUGUUUUGUCAAUACGUACGUAUGCAAUGUUUGAUAUCACUAGCCCCUUCAACACCUUGUGUUCAUGAGUUAUUCAAGCUUUAUCAUCGUAAACAUUAGUUUUUUAGUCACUUAACAAAUAUUUGACCGUUUCAGAAGGUUAUAUAAUUAGGGUACUUCCUAAUCAAUUAAUAAUCUUGUUAUGAAAUAAGUUUCUGAUAUGGUUGACUUAAGUUGGAUGCUGUAAAUACUUGAAGAAUAAUAUAAUGUUGAAAAUAUAUUCCACAUAUAGUUUCUUGAUUGUCAAUAAGUAAUUGGUACUAGUAAUAUGGAUUUUUUGGCAUGUAUUUAGACAUGAGAUGUAAUUGUGUAAACGAGCUCGAACAAAGAUCCAAAGACAAGAUGAACUAUCUCACUCAACUACUGAAGCUAAAACUUAAGUUGCAAGUCAGUAAUAACAUCAUCACUGACUUGGAAUGCCUUUGAGAGAAUAUCAGUUGAUAUAUCUGGGUUUGAGCCAAAAACCGCACUAGCUACUGCAAUCACUCCAGGGUUCUGGCUACUCAAGGCAACCAUAGCAACUGCAUACGAGCUUCCGACAUUACGUUGGGUUUGAUGUCACGAAUCCUACUUCAAGCUGGCCUUCCAAGACGGUUAAGAUUUCAGUAGCACGGGGAUGAGUGUGAGGUGGGAUAACUCCCCUUGGUGCAAAGUCGAGCCGGGCAAGUGAGAUCCCUAGUGUGUUUAAUCCUGGUACUUGAAAUACAAAAGCUGGGGUCACACUUGAUCCCAAUGCAUUUGAAGUGUUGCCCAUAAUAUGCAUGCCACCAAAGUAAAAGUCGUUUGCUUGAACCGAACUUGGAGUCUUGCAAGCGAAUCCGUUCACCCGUACUGCGAUAUAUUACACCAAAACAUUAAAGCCUUGCAUCAUAUCUAAAGACUUACUCUUUACUAUCUAUAAAUGUUGCAAAAGUUUCUAAAUGAAUGGAUGUCGUUUCGACAAUAUUAA